ensembl:lncRNA
UGCUCUUAAGUGCAAGACGUGACUCUCCAUGGACUUAACAGGACUGAACAGAGGUUAUUCAUCACGUCUGUCACUAUGGAGAAAACAGAUGUGUUCAGCCAACCUCAGGUGCCUUUUGCAUACAAAAGUCCUGCCUGUCUGAGAUUUGGAAAAGAGUUGCGAACUCAUCAGAGGCUGAAGUCAGAAUGUUUUUCAUCAGUGUGCCUGAUCAUCCCAGCCUUUUGACCAUAAAUGAUACAAAAUGGUGGGACUCCAUCUUUGGAAGUACUUUGCUCUUCCCUCAUCCUGAGAGGACAAGGAAAUUGCAAGAUGACUGGUAUAGUAAUAUGUCUGUGUGAUAUGUGCCUUAGCAGACGCAGGCCUGAACUUCCAUCUAGUUCAUUACCCAGCAGCACAACUACUUACAUGCAAGCCGCAGUCCAUUUACUUCUAACUGGGAAUAAUUGAUCCAACUGAAGAGGAGAAAUACGGAAUCUCCGUGUGUCAGCUACAAAGAGACCGCAAUACUUGGCCUUCAGUUCUCUGAUUUCUAUUGCAAUAUAUUAUGCUCCUUAUUAAGGAGAAGAACCAGACAGAUGAAAGAAGGUACAAUUCAUGGUUAGGACACUGAGCUGGAAGUCAUGCAGUCUGGCGAAGCUUCCUCUGUGAACAUGGGAAAGUCACUUGAUUCUCUAUAUCUUCAUUUACUGUACGAUACAGGAUACCCCCUUUCAUGGUAGUUCUGCCUGUCAGCACCAGGUAAAUGUGCCAAAUUAUGUGAUGUGUUACUCAAUAGCAACUCUGUGAGUGCUGGAGGUGAUGUACUGCACCAGGCUACAACACUGACAUAGGAAAACUUGAAAGGUCUAGUUAGAAACACAAUAUGGUAAAGUCAUAUAGGUGUGCCAUCCUCCUUCUAUGUAAAACAGCAAAAUAUUUAUUUUUUUUUAAUUGUUCUGUUUUAUUUUGCUUUUCUGUCACAUUCACUGUUGAUUUAGAUGCAAAAAGUCAUCUCUAGAGUUAUUUAUAUACUGAUCUGUGUGGCCAUCUUCCUCCCAAGAGUCUCUAAAGAACGUGUGAGCUACUCACUUUGUUUCAUCCUCAUAUAGCAAUUGAUUUUACUCACUCAGCAUAGUGUAGUUAUGCAUGACAUUGAAAGAUGCAUGCAUACAUAGAUUUUCAAACGUGCUUUAUCACUUAGGAACACAAACCUAAGGGAAGACAAGCGUCUAGAUCACUGAAUUCCUGAAAGUAUUUUCUAGUACUUCUUGCUGAGACCAACAUUACCUUCUAAUUUCUCACUGCUGCAACAAAUUCAUUCUCUGCUUCCUCUACCACCACUCAAUGCAUUACAUCUUUCAGCAUGGAAAUGCCACAGAUCCAGCAAAUGGGAUAGAGGCAUCCCUGAGUAUGAAAUUAAAGAUUAUGAGAAAAUGCUUAGAUUUGUAAGAGGAGCUGAAAUGAGUCUAGAUCACUGUUUUCCUUGUUCACAUUUGUCGAUUCAGAUAAAUCUCAUGUUUCAGAUGUGUACUAACCACCCAGGAGUCACUGAAAAGGAACCUUAUUCUUUCACUCCUUGCUGCAUACUCAUAAUUAUAUUGCACUUGCAUUCAAAUUUUUCUCGAGACUCUGAUUAGUAUAUCUUUGUUAUGCCAACUCAGAGUUAAGGGAAUGACAAUUGGAAUCAGGAAGUAGUUGUCUCCCAGAGCAGAGAGAAAGAAACAACUGGGUGUUGUUUUAUGGAUUUUCUCUGCAACAUGGCUUAUUUUCAAGCAUCAUUUAGUAGAAAUGAAGCCAGUUCUGCAUUGCCUACAGCCUCCUUCUCUGCCUACUAUUUAUCCAAAAGAUUCCUUGUCUACUGAGGGCCAACAGCCCACUGGAAUUGUCUCAUGGUCUCAUGAAUCUGCCACUGUAGGCCUGUGUGUUUUAUAUGCCAUUGGAACUAGAUGUGAUUUUGACAUUCAGAUCUGAUUUUCCCUGCAGUUUAUGAGCAUUUGGAUCCAUGAUUUUUGGAUCACACAUAUCUCUAAUGUCAACACAGCAAAAUGGAUGUGAUAGAAUAAAAUGAAAAAGCAGCAGUGUUCUGUCAAGAUCAGACUUGUUGCUGCAUAAUAAAAAUUAGUCUUCGACAAAGACUUUUGCUUUUGUAAUGCCCAAAGGACCUGGAAACUAAGAUAAAACCUAAUUUGUUCAAUGGCUUUCAUGCCCAGAAAGAAUAAAGACAAGCUCUAUACACAUACGUUAGCAGAUGGACAUCUGGAAACCUUUGCUUAGAAAGAAAUAUUAAAAUUGAUAGCAAUCAUUUUGUUCCAGUGUACUCCCCUUCCUCUCUUUUCUCAGGGCAGUCAGUAGCACUUUGCAGCUAGUAAAUCUGUUUGGCAGGUAAUCUGCCACCCAUGGACCAGAUGCUUCUUUGGCAAGGUAAGCUUUCCUGUUGCUAUGGCAAAGCUCAGGCAGGCAAAUGACACGGAUGCAGUGGCAUGUAGCCAAAGUAAUUGGAUGGCAUAGGCCUUCGUUAAUUGAAAGAGGGAAGAGAGCUGGUGCAGCCUGCUUUUGCCUGCCAAUAAAUGCUGAACUUCGGGCAGGGUGCAGGACUAAUUAACUGCCUCCACCAGCUGUUGGCUGUAGCAUGCCAAAUCUGACAAGUGGUCAGGACCAUGCAUCCUUAACCUUUCUGGAGGAGAGGUAGCAGUUCCUGAUGCUGUUGGAACAUUUGUAAAUUUUUCUUUUCUUUGAAAUUCCUCAAAAAAAAAAAAAAAAAAAAAAGAAAAGAAAAAAAAAAAGAUGUGGAAAAAAUGAUUACACUUCCCCCGAAGACCUGUGAACUUUUUGUUUGUUUGGCUAAUUAAUAACUCUUCCUGUGAACUGGUGAUUCUGUCAGGAGACAGAAGAAACUAGGGUAUGAAUGUGUAUUCCAGAUGCCUUGAAGAAUAAAAAGGUAAAGUUCACUAAAAACUUUAACCAUGACUAGUAAUGUGUUAACAAACUAUGUCUGUGGGAAUCACCCCCAGUUAUGACCAUGAUUACCUGUAGACAUCUAUGGCUCUG